UGUGUAGGUGGUGCUCUAAGUUUGGUGUGAAAUCUCCCGGCUCAACCGGGAGGGUGCAUCGAAAACUGGAAUGCUAGAGAGUGGGAGAGGUAAGCGGAAUUCCUGGUGUAGCGGUGAAAUGCGUAGAUAUCAGGAGGAACACCUGUGGUGUAGACAGCUUACUGGACCAUUUCUGACACUGAGACACGAAAGCGUGGGUAGCAAACA
rnacentral:rRNA from 1 species